rnacentral:misc_RNA from 1 species
CUGAUAUCCAGAAAGUUUGAAUUCCUACAGAAUGAUGGCAUCAUGGCAAGUUGCUUCAGUUGAGGACAAUUUUAUUAUGGAAAACAAAAUCAGCGAACAAAUGUUUUUCCCAUGUACAGAAGUUAAAACAGCAUUAAACCUGACAACAUGUCAAGUAACUUGAAAGGUUCCAUUUGUUAAUCUGAAAUGUUCAUUUUUAUUAAGCUUGACAUGAAGCUUUAUUAUAUGGUAGUGAGUGUUGAG